rnacentral:rRNA from 1 species
ACACUGGGACUGAGACACGGCCCAGACUCCUACGGGAGGCAGCAGUAGGGAAUCUUCCGCAAUGGACGAAAGUCUGACGGAGCAACGCCGCGUGAGUGAUGAAGGUUUUCGGAUCGUAAAGCUCUGUUGUUAGGGAAGAACAAGUGCCGUUCAAAUAGGGCGGCACCUUGACGGUACCUAACCAGAAAGCCACGCUUAAUUAUGGCCCAGCGCGCGGGGGUAUACGUAGUGGUGGAAGGUGCCGGAGAAAUUUUUGGGGCGAAAGGGUCCCGCAGCUUUUCUUAGUCUGAGGAAACCCCGGCUCAACCGGGGAGGGUCAUUGGAAACUGGGGAACUUGAGUGCAGAAGAGGAGAGUGGAAUUCCACGUGUAGCGGUGAAAUGCGUAGAGAUGUGGAGGAACACCAGUGGCGAAGGCGACUCUCUGGUCUGUAACUGACGCUGAGGAGCGAAAGCGUGGGGAGCGAACAGGAUUAGAUACCCUGGUAGUCCACGCCGUAAACGAUGAGUGCUAAGUGUUAGGGGGUUUCCGCCCCUUAGUGCUGCAGCUAACGCAUUAAGCACUCCGCCUGGGGAGUACGGUCGCAAGACUGAAACUCAAAGGAAUGCGGGCCC